UUGGAAAGAGUUCCAGCUUCAUCACGGAGUUUCUCUCGGUUUGUGGGCUCAUCUAAAGGGAUAAAUUACAUAUCUAUACAUUUUAUGUCCCAGCUAAGUAACAAGUCUGGUGGAGCAGCAGAGGAACAAUUUUGGCCAUUUGGACUCAGCUCAGCCACUACAGAGGAAACAAUGACUUCAACACAAAAGGACCAACAUGGAGCGAGAAGUCAGCGCUCUCAGGAGGCCGACAAACCUCACAGA